CUGGUGGGGUGGGGGCCGCUAGCCCACUCAGGCACGGUCACGUGACUGAACCUCAGCCCAACCCCGCCCUUGCUGCUGAGAGUCUCUGGCUCGCUAGGAGUCGUUUAAAGAAUCCGCGCGAGCGGUACCAGGUGUUAACCGUGCGGUGCGGGACCGAGACGGGUCCUUAGCUUCGGCCCUUUCCCAUCCUCUCUGGUCAGAGGGAAGAAUGAGAGGAACUCAGUCAAGCAAUGACACUUGAGGUCAAGAAGCUGGGUCUCCACCCUGUCCCCCAGGCAGUGUACAGAACUCAGCAUUGCUGGUGAAGGUCCCACUGGAGGACACCCAAGUUCAACAUGAUCUUGACAGACCUGUGACUGACCUGACCCUCCCUCCAGUCCUGUGCCACUGACACAUAUGCUUGAUGCCUUCUGCUUUGUCCUAGUACCCAAGACGGAUUAACUCAUCCUUCUGGGCUUGAGAGAGAGAACAAGCAACACCUGGCCUCAUCCAAACCCUGCAGAUGGGUUUUUCACCCAAGAAAUUUCGGAUUUCAACCAAUGAUGUUCAUAGGGAAAUGAACAUAUACAGACCUCAUCUUCUAACAGAAGCCCAGUGUAACACACCCUUGAUAGUGUUCUGAACAUGACUGCAGAUGGUUCUGAUAGUGGCCAGGUCCUUUCUGUUACCCCACCAUUUGUCAACCCGGAGCCUUUUCUUUGUCUUUCCAAGAAGACUCAGCUCCACAUUGAUGUGAUUGAAGUCCCUCCACAGAGUCCCCCUGGGGCCACUUCACAAUGACUGUGCACCCCUUCAGAGUGAUGUCGACAUUUUCUGGAAUGUCGACAGUCUGAUUGCUGAGAAUGGUCUUCAUUCUCGCAGUAGAUGGGGCAAAGAGAGUUGAGCCUCAUUUUUUAAUGAUUUAUUUAAUAUAUAUACACUGUAGCUGUUUUCAGACACACCAGAAGAGGGCAUCCGAUCUCAUUACAGAUGGUUGUGAGCCACCACAUGGUUGCUGGGAUUUGAACUCAGGACUUGUGGAGGAAUAGUCAAUGCUCUUAAGUACUGAGCCAUCUCUCUAACUCCAAGCCUCAUUUUUUCUCUUGUAAAGUAGAAGAGAUUUAUAUAGUAUCUACAUUAUGAAUUUUAGGGAGAACUUAAAAUCCCUGAAGUACUCCAUGCAGGUCAGCAGGCUUUGUGACUGUCUUAAGUGAAUCCCUCCUCCCUAAACAUAUAUGGUUCCCUACCCAGAUUCCUUUUGAAAAUGUAAAAAAAGUUAACAUCUGUAGAGUGGGGCCCUGGAAAGAUGGCUCAGCUCUUAAGAGCGCUUGUUAAAUAUUAAGUAUUAAGCUGUUAAGUUCUCUUGCAUAGGACCAUAGUUCAAUUCCCAGAAUCCACUUGAUGGUUCACAAACUUCCAAAGCUUCAGUUCCAUGUGAUCUGAUGGCCAUCUUCUGACCUCUGAGGCCACCAUGCACACAUAUGGUGCAUAGACAUAUAUACAGACAAAAACCUCACACAUAAAAAUAAAGUGAAUAAAUCUAAAACAACAAAAACAUCAAUAGAAUGGUCAUGCCUGAAGCCCACCACUCAGUGCCACCUUCUCUCUAGGUAAGAGAGAUUUUUAAAAAAAUUUUUUUUUUGGUUUUUCGAGAUAGGGUUUCUCUGUGUAACCCUGGCUGUCCUGGAACUCACUCUGUAGACCAGGCUGGCCUCGAACUCAGAAAUCUGCCUGCCUCUGCCUCCCAAGUGCUGGGAUCAAAGGCACGCACCACCACUGCCCGGCUGAGAAUUCUUGAAGGAUGGCAGUGAUCUGAGCCUGCUAGUGGUGGCUGGAUGAAAAUUAUUGGGGGAAACCAAUAGAAUUUCAGUCAAGCCUUAGAGUGAUUGUC